rnacentral:rRNA from 1 species
GGCCCAGACUCCUACGGGAGGCAGCAGUGAGGAAUAUUGGUCAAUGGCCGAGAGGCUGAACCAGCCAAGUCGCGUGAGGGAAGACGGCCCUACGGGUUGUAAACCUCUUUUGUCGGGGAGCAAAGCGAGUCACGUGUGACUCAUUGAGAGUACCCGAAGAAAAAGCAUCGGCUAACUCCGUGCCAGCAGCCGCGGUAAUACGGAGGAUGCGAGCGUUAUCCGGAUUUAUUGGGUUUAAAGGGUGCGUAGGCUGUGAGGUAAGUCAGCGGUGAAAUGCCCCCGCUCAACGGGGUGAAGUGCCAUUGAUACUGCCUUGCUGGAAUGCGGGUGCCGUGGGAGGAAUGUGUGGUGUAGCGGUGAAAUGCAUAGAUAUCACACAGAACACCGAUUGCGAAGGCAGCUUACCAAGCUACUUCUGACGUUGAGGCACGAAAGCGUGGGGAGCAAACAGGAUUAGAUACCCUCGUAA